AACAAAAGUUUGUUGUAAAACACCAGAUUUGUUAACAAGUUAAUUAAAUCUGUGAUUACACAAACCAACUCUGUCAUGACUAUAAAACAUUUUUCCGGGUUAACAAAUCUGUUAUAACACAACAGAUUUUUGGUUACAAAUAGAAAAUCUGCUGCCACCAUAAAGAAAAAUUUGCGGUAUGGAAAAUAAAUCAGUGACAGAUUUGGUUUCAACAUUCUAAAUUUUGAAAUUUUAGAAAAAUCUGUGGAGACUAUAUGAAACAAAUCUGUCACGAUAAACAAAUCUACGAAAAAAUAAAAAUCUGUCGUAACUUAAUCAAGUAAAGUCUGUGGUACAAAACAAGUAUGUUGUAAAAAAUCUGUGGUUGACCAAAAAAUCUGUGAUCGAAAACAAAUCUGUCACAACAAGAGCCAUAGAUUUAGCAAAAACGACGAUGGCAGUUUCGUAUUUAAAUGUAGUUUUAUUACCAUGCUGGAAUCAAAUAGUCAUGGCAUUUCUGUAAUAUUGUUUUUCUGUAAAGGAAAAUAAGGACAUUUUAGACAUAAUUAUUACCCAUAUAACUCAUAUUUUUAGCAUUCCUUUUU
rnacentral:sRNA from 1 species